CAGUAGCCGCGGGAAUACGUAGGUGGCAAGCGUUGUCCGGAAUUAUUGGGCGUAAAGGGCUCGCAGGCGGUUUCUUAAGUCUGAUGUGAAAGCCCCCGGCUCAACCGGGGAGGGUCAUUGGAAACUGGGAAACUUGAGUGCAGAAGAGGAGAGUGGAAUUCCGCGUGUAGCGGUGAAAUGCGUAGAGAUGUGGAGGAACACCAGUGGCGAAGGCGACUCUCUGGUCUGUAACUGACGCUGAGGAGCGAAAGCGUGGGGAGCGAACAGGAUUAGAUACCCCCGUAGUCCCUGUCUCUUAUAC
rnacentral:rRNA from 1 species